rnacentral:rRNA from 1 species
GUGGGGAAUCUUGCGCAAUGGGCGAAAGCCUGACGCAGCCAUGCCGCGUGAAUGAUGAAGGUCUUAGGAUUGUAAAAUUCUUUCACCGGGGACGAUAAUGACGGUACCCGGAGAAGAAGCUCCGGCUAACUUCGUGCCAGCAGCCGAGGUAAUACGAAGGGGGCUAGCGUUGCUCGGAAUUACUGGGCGUAAAGGGCGCGUAGGCGGACAGCUUAGUCAGAGGUGAAAGCCCAGGGCUCAACCUUGGAAUUGCCUUUGAUACUGGCUGUCUUGAGUUUGGGAGAGGUGAGUGGAACUCCGAGUGUAGAGGUGAAAUUCGUAGAUAUUCGGAAGAACACCAGUGGCGAAGGCGACUCACUGGCCCAAUACUGACGCUGAGGCGCGAAAGCGUGGGGAGCAAACAGGAUUAGAUACCCCGGUAGUCC